GACGAACGCUGGCGGCGUGCUUAACACAUGCAAGUCGAACGGAAAGGCCCUGCUUUUGUGGGGUGCUCGAGUGGCGAACGGGUGAGUAACACGUGAGUAACCUGCCCUUGACUUUGGGAUAACUUCAGGAAACUGGGGCUAAUACCGGAUAGGAGCUCCUGCUGCAUGGUGGGGGUUGGAAAGUUUCGGCGGUUGGGGAUGGACUCGCGGCUUAUCAGCUUGUUGGUGGGGUAGUGGCUUACCAAGGCUUUGACGGGUAGCCGGCCUGCGAGGGUGACCGGCCACAUUGGGACUGAGAUGCGGCCCAGACUCCUACGGGAGGCAGCAGUGGGGAAUAUUGCACAAUGGGCGGAAGCCUGAUGCAGCAACGCCGCGUGCGGGAUGACGGCCUGCGGGUUGUAAACCGCUUUCGCCUGUGACGAAGCGUGAGUGACGGUAAUGGGUAAAGAAGCACCGGCUAACUACGUG
rnacentral:rRNA from 1 species